CUGAACCCACUCAUCAGGUCGGCUUCUCAACGCACGCCCGUUGGCGUGCAGAGCAUCGGCGCCACAUGGCCAGUUGCCACCAAAGCUUGCUCUCGUUGCCAAUGGCCGAGUAGCGACGACGUGGCAUCCUUAUCACCUCGCCGUUCUUAUCCUCGCCUCGGUUCGGCUAUAUAAGCAGCACCAACCCCUCCAGAACCACUCGCCCCUUCCUCCCAACCUCCAUUGCCAAAACCAAGCUCCAACUAUUCCCCAUCCUUCACUCGAGAAAUUCAUCUCCGUGAGUGAGCCUCAGCUCGAUUCCUCGCAGCCACGCCUUGCCCACGAUGUCGCGCAUCUGUUUUGCUGCUUCUCGGAUGCCCACCCUCGCCGAAUAGCCCCCUCCACGGCAAGCACCUCCACCCCACAUCCUCUACCUCCUUGAGUUUCUGCGCGCCACCUUGUUCCUCAUCGCCAGGCCCUAUUUGUGAGCUCCCUAGCCCUGUGUGCCACCCCUCUCUCUUCUCUUGCCGUGCGCCCCUUCCUUUCCCCCUGCCACGGCCGGCCCCCAAGUGCCAAGUGCCAUGUUUUGUGCCGUGCCUGUGUCGUGCCUGUGUUGUUGCGUGAGGGACCUGAGGGGAGAGGAAGGAGAGAGUUCAGGUGUCCUGCAUAAAAAUCCGGAGUUAUGUGUGAGGUGGGAAAGAUUCCAGGGACCUUUGCGCAUUUAACCCAUAGACCUGGGGGCUAGAUGGCAUUUUGCCUCAGUUUUCUUUAUUUUUUUCCCUAGAUCUAAAAGGCUAAAAAAUUGAAAAUUCAUAGUAAAUUGUAGAAAAAUCAUAAAAUAGCAAAUGAGGACUUUUUGGAAUCUUUGUGAGUAGAUCUACACAGUAGAGUCAUGAUAUGGUAUGUAUUAGUAGAAAGUUUCUGAUGUUUUUAUUUAUUCUUACAAAGUGCUUUUAGAAAUCAUUUUCAGCUGGUUAGAU
rnacentral:lncRNA from 1 species